AACGAACGCUGGCGGCGCGUCUUAAGCAUGCAAGUCGAACGGCAAGAGAGGAGCUUGCUUCUCUCCUAGAGUGGCGGACUGGUGAGGAACACGUGGGUAAUCUACCCUUAAGAUGGGGAUAGCUUCUAGAAAUAGCAGGUAAUACCGAAUACACUCGGCAUAUCACAAGAGGGGUUGAGGAAAGGAAGCUACGGCUUCGCUGGAGGAUGAGCUUGCGUCCCUUUAGCUGGUUGGUGAGGUAAAGGCCCACCAAGGGGACGACGGGUAUCCGGCCUGAGAGGGUGAAAGGCCGCAUUGGGACGGAGAUGCGGCCAUAGGUCCUACGGGAGGCAGCAGCUAAGAAUAUGCCGCAAUGGACGGAAGUCUGACGGAGCGAGGCGAAGUGGAUGAAGAAGGCUGAAAAGUUGUAAAAUCCUUUUGUUGAUGAUGAAUCGGGGUGGGAGGGAAUGCUGCUCUGAUGACGGUAAUCGACAAAUAAGCCCCGGCUAAUUACGUG
rnacentral:rRNA from 1 species